rnacentral:rRNA from 1 species
AUUGAACGCUGGCGGCAGGCCUAACACAUGCAAGUCGAACGGUAACAGGAAGCAGCUUGCUGCUUUGCUGACGAGUGGCGGACGGGUGAGUAAUGUCUGGGAAACUGCCUGAUGGAGGGGGAUAACUACUGGAAACGGUAGCUAAUACCGCAUAACGUCGCAAGACCAAAGAGGGGGACCUUAGGGCCUCUUGCCAUCGGAUGUGCCCAGAUGGGAUUAGCUAGUAGGUGGGGUAACGGCUCACCUAGGCGACGAUCCCUAGCUGGUCUGAGAGGAUGACCAGCCACACUGGAACUGAGACACGGUCCAGACUCCUACGGGAGGCAGCAGUGGGGAAUAUUGCACAAUGGGCGCAAGCCUGAUGCAGCCAUGCCGCGUGUAAGAAGAAGGCCUUCGGGUUGUAAAGUACUUUCAGCGGGGAGGAAGGGAGUAAAGUUAAUACCUUUGCUCAUUGACGUUACCCGCAGAAGAAGCACCGGCUAACUCCGUG